GCAACUUUUCAUACAAAUACGAAAGUCGCCGAGCAACUUUGUCGCCCGUGUGCGCGGAGCCUAACUACUUGACGUGUUGCUGUUGAGGGCGUGAGUGAGAGAGCGAAAAGCGAAAAUAGCGAAAUUAAAAAUGACGUCAGUGCCGAAGACGUAUUUACGUUACUGUAGUGUUUAUGGAUGUAUGAACGGUACUAAAAAUCCGGAAUUAUCAUUCUUCAGGAUUCCUAGUAAUCCAGAUAAGCGCUUGCAAUGGUUGCUUUUAAUAUCGCGACACGAUUUGAUUGGGAAAGACCCAAAAUGUGAUAGAAGAAUAUGUAGUCAACAUUUUAACGAGCAAGAUCUUCUGACAUCAGAAAAAACAGGUUAUAAGAGACUAAAAAGAGAUGUCCUUCCAAGUUUAAAUUUGCCCAACCGACCUACAGGAGAUAGAAUCAUACUAUCUCAACGUGAGGAUAAUGCCAGUUUAACGCAAACAACUGUUGUUUCCUUAUACACUGGUACAAGUGAAUUUGCAACCAAAACAAAUCGAUCUACAAGUGACUUUUCGACCCAAACAAAUCAGUCUACAAGUGACUUUUCGACCCAAACAAAUCAGUCUACUAGUGACUUUUCGACCCAAACAAAUCAGUCUACAAGUGACUCUUCAACACAAACAGAAAAUCAGAUUGUGUCAGGAACUGAAUCUCUGGAUUCGCUUUCUGCUAAUACCCCCAGAAAAUGUAAACUGAAAUCUGAGUUGAAAGAUAGCCAGAACUGCAAGAAGCGAUUAAAAACCCUCGAAAAAGAACAGACUGCUGAAAGUGAUGAAUCAGAAGAUAUGUUUCAUAAAUUGUGUGAUCGGUUCUUAUCUAAGGACUUAGCUAAAUUAGUAAAAUCUAAAACUAGACCUUCGCAAAAUGUUUGACUGAAAAGAAAAGAAUGAUAAGUAAUACUCUUUAGAGUACUUUUUUGAAUAAUUGAAUCAUAUGGUUUAACACAAACCACUCAACGCAACUAUGGGAACAAAUCAAAUUAUUUUAACAAAUAUUUUGAUUUGGGUUUUUUAUGUAGUCACACUACUAUAUAUAAAUUAAAAAUCGAAAUAAUAUAUGACAUCUUAUUUCGGUUUUUAACAAACCACUACCACUCAAAUUCUAUGAAUCUUCCCAUUUUUAUCACAGUCCCAAAUAAGAGUGUUACAUUCGAAUUUAUUAAACCUUUGAGUAUCUUUUGAUGGUGUGAUUAAGAACAUUAGGACCUUUUUUUUCUCUUGCUAGCACAAGUAUGUAUUAGCUACUUAUUUUUUUUAUAACUGUAAAUGAUUGAAUUACCCUA